UUUAAAGUCUAAUCUGCCCAAUGAUAUUUAAAUGGCUGCGGUAAUUUGACUGUGCAAAGGUAGCAUAAUCAUUAGUUUUUUAAUUGAAAGCUGGAAUGAAUGGUUGGACGAAAAAGAAACUGUCUUUAUUUAAGUUGAUUAGAAUUUUAUUUUUAAGUUAAAAAGCUUAGAUGUUCUUAAAAGACGAGAAGACCCUAUAGAGUUUUAUAUUUAUUUAUAUAGUAUAAAUUACUUAUUUUUAUUAUUAGAGUGGAUAUUUUGUUGGGGUGAUAAUAAAAUUAAAUUAACUUUUGUUAGCAGAUUACAUUUAUUGUUGGUUUUAUGAUCCAUUAUUUAUGAAUAUAAGAUAAAAUUACCUUAGGGAUAACAGCGUAAUUUUUUUUGAGAGUUCUUAUUGAAAAAAAAGUUUGCGACCUCGAUGUUGGAUUAAAAUUUACUUUUGGUGUAGGGGCUAUAUAGUUAGGUCUGUUCGACCUAUAAAAUUUUACAUGAUCUGAGUUUAAACCGGUGUGAGCCAGGUUGGUUUCUAUCUUUAAUAAGGUUUUAUAUUUUAGUACGAAAGGAUUUGGUAUAUGUAAUAUUUAUUUUUAUUUGAAUGAUAUUA
rnacentral:rRNA from 1 species